rnacentral:rRNA from 1 species
GAGUAAUCUGCCCUUCACUUCGGGAUAAGCUUCGGAAACGGGGUCUAAUACCGGAUACGUCACUUUCAGGCAUCUGAUGAGUGUGGAAAGUUUUUUCGGUGGGGGAUGUGCUCGCGGCCUAUCAGCUUGUUGGUGGGGUAAUGGCCUACCAAGGCUUCGACGGGUAGCCGGCCUGAGAGGGUGACCGGCCACACUGGGACUGAGACACGGCCCAGACUCCUACGGGAGGCAGCAGUGGGGAAUAUUGGACAAUGGGCGGAAGCCUGAUCCAGCAACGCCGCGUGAGGGAUGACGGCCUUCGGGUUGUAAACCUCUUUCAGUACCGACGAAGCGAGAGUGACGGUAGGUACAGAAGAAGCACCGGCCAACUACGUGCCAGCAGCCGCGGUAAUACGUAGGGUGCGAGCGUUGUCCGGAAUUAUUGGGCGUAAAGGGCUCGUAGGCGGUUUGUCGCGUCGGGAGUGAAAACACCGGGCUUAACUCGGUGCUUGCUUUCGAUACGGGCAGACUAGAGGUAUGCAGGGGAGAACGGAAUUCCUGGU